rnacentral:rRNA from 1 species
UGCAGUCGAGCGAAGACUUCGGUCUUAGCGGCAGACGGGUGAGUAACGCGUGGGAAUCUACCCAACCCUACGGAAUAGCUCCGGGAAACUGGAAUUAAUACCGUAUACGCCCUUCGGGGGAAAGAUUUAUCGGGGAUGGAUGAGCCCGCGUUGGAUUAGCUAGUUGGUGGGGUAAAAGCCUACCAAGGCGACGAUCCAUAGCUGGUCUGAGAGGAUGAUCAGCCACAUUGGGACUGAGACACGGCCCAAACUCCUACGGGAGGCAGCAGUGGGGAAUAUUGGACAAUGGGCGCAAGCCUGAUCCAGCCAUGCCGCGUGAGUGAUGAAGGCCCUAGGGUUGUAAAGCUCUUUCAACGGUGAAGAUAAUGACGGUAACCGUAGAAGAAGCCCCGGCUAACUUCGUGCCAGCAGCCGCGGUAAUACGAAGGGGGCUAGCGUUGUUCGGAAUUACUGGGCGUAAAGCGCGCGUAGGCGGAUCGGUUAGUUGGGGGUGAAAUCCCAGGGCUCAACCCUGGAACUGCCUC